AGAAAAUUUCUCAACACCAUAUGUAUAUAUAUGUAUAGACACUACGGUGUAAAAUCUUUAUAAAGCAAAAAUGGAGAUUAUGGAAGAUGGGAAUUUGGUCGAUCGCGUAAGAAUUUUACUACAACGAGACAUGCAAUAUUAUCAGGAUAUGCAAACAGUUUUGAGAGAACCGCUAUGCCUACGUAUUAGCGGUGGGAAACUCGAUUUUCCACGACAUGCUUCGUUCGCCGCAAUAAAAAUCGUCACAUGGUGGGAAGCGGAUUUCGUGGCCGCUUUUAAGUGCGCUUCUGGUUUAAGCGCCACCGAAAAUGAAGGCGCAUCCAGCGUCGACAGCGAGGACGGUGCUAUUAAACGGAUCCAGCCCUCCGAUUUUAUUCUACUCGUUGCCGACACCGCAGAAGAAUUGCUAGAGCAUCUGCACAUGUUGAUUCAAGAAUCCUUGGAUCACGCCGACCUUACCGUACUCACCGCCACUUUGGGCGCAGCAGCCCUGAUACGAAAUUGCUUAUGGUGUUACAAUCAACACUCAAAAGGAAAGAUCACUUCUCAAGCCAGUGAAAAAAUUAAUAAAUCUCACAAAGCAUUCCAUGAAAUGGCCGAAGCCGUGGCAGAGAGAUUGCUCGAUCUGCACUGUAGAUUAAUUUCCUUGUACAUCCUUAACGAAGCGGACUCUCUCAGCUGGCACAGCAACAAACCAUUCUUCGAAAGAGAGCGAUGCUCCUACGUUAUACAGAUGUGGUGGCUAUAUAUGCAAGGUACUAAGGCGGAUUUAUGGAACACAGUCUCGCCUAAGAUGGCACAGCGUGUAUUUUCAGAAAUGUUAAACGAGUCCCUAUCCAUCAUAACAACGCGAUUCAUUCACGGUCGACCGACAGUGGCAAGAUCCGAGCAAUUUUGGUCGGACGCCUUUAAUGUGCUCUGCUGUACGGGAUAUCUGGCUUUAGGCGCAUGUGUCGAUGGCGACGGGAUGAUAGGUGCACGACCGAGUAAUUUGCCGACAGCGAUAAGAGAUAUACAUGCGAAAUGUAAUGAAUUAUUAAUCUGCUUACUACUUAGGGGCACUCCUCUCAGAGAACUGUAUCAGAUCUUCCGACACGGAUUGGAAAAUUUGGCGAUACUGCGACCUCGACGCAGUCCAGCUCCAUGGCUAUUAAUAUGCGCUCCGAAUUUAUUAGGAUUGAACGCAACUGAUACUCCAGCUGAUAUUAUAACGUUGCCUGAGGACAAAGCCGUUAUCCUCGAGUUGAAUGUCAUGAGGCAUCAGCCUCAACCCAACUGGCCUCAACUGAUGAAAGUGAUAUCGAUGAACGAUUACGUCGUAGGAAAGAUGCUAUUAAAGACUUUGGUACGUCAAAAUGUGAGCUUUACGUUCGUAGACGAAUACGACGCAGUUAAUAAAUCGAAGAAAAACGAAAAGAGUUGCGGCGGCUUUUUAUGCAGCGGAUCAGCGUGCGAUAAAUCACUAAAAAUAACUUCAGCUUUGGCAUUAUACAGCUUAUCUCACGUACUAGUGGUGACCGUUAACGAGCCAGAGCAUGUAAUUAUACCCGCAUUGAAGCAGGAUCCAAACUGGUCCAAUUAUCUGGAUAGACAACAGGUGUGGAAUCAAUCGAGGCCACCCUGGCUCAACGCAUUGAUAAAGCCUCUGAAGAUCAUGAUGCAGCCAGUAGUUGAGGUGCUUCUAGAAGCUGCAAAGACAGGUGCCAGCAUAUAUCAAGCCAUGUCGCUGGCGAUCGGCUGCUUCGCCGAGUUAUACGUGACAGCUUCGACUCCAGUUUUGCGCACAGCAUUUGCCCUCAACGAUAACAUUCCUGCGCAUUGUUGUCCGAUCGGAGGUAACGUGUUGCUUCAAAUCCUGUGCGCCGCUCUGUACUCCGGCCUCCUGGACGUGUCCGCGAAGAGAGAAGGUGGAAGGAAGGGUUCUCGUGAUACACCGAGUUCCAGGGUCACAAACUGCGAGCUGAGCCCCUUUAACCCUUACGACAGAUCGACCGCAGCCACGGCCCUCGCUGAAGCGAUUUGCAGCAUCGACGAGGACAACAAGCACACGGCGCAGAUAGACUCCUUCGUUCUUCUCGUAAAAGACAGUCUCGGAAGAGAAGAUCAAACUUCGAGGAAUAACGAAUUACAGAACAUGACUUGCGUCAUUGAGACUUACACGGACGAAUUGUUGUUUACGAGUACUGGACGACGUUCUUUAAAGAUUAUAAACGAAUAUCUAGUCCGAGCGUCCGAAUGGGUGCUAAAUAAUCUGCGUUGCGACGAAAAAAACAGACAAACGGAUUUGAUGAGUCUGCCAGAAGUCUCACCCAUCAUAAAACCUCUGACACACUUGAUGUUUCAUAUCGAGGACACUUGCUUUGAUCAGUUCAUGGUUAAUUACGAGGAAACAAAUUGGUCAAAGGUAUUAAUGAUGCCUUUGUCGAUUACCUUGGAGCGUGUACGAAGUCAAAUUCUUUUGAGACCAGAAUUGAAGAAUGUCGGAGAUCUCAGUCAUGAGGAUAAAGAAGUGGUACAAUCUAUCAAAAGGAUCUGCUCAUUUGUCAGAUCAGCACGUUUCAAAUAAGCUGUUUACACAUCCAAUAUCAACACUUUGUAUUAUAGAGCUUCACUGUUACGCAUCAUAUCGGACCACUACAAAUCACUCUAACGAAGUUAAAGAGGAAACAUCAAUCAUAAUUACACAACGAGACGAUAUACCUGAUCGUCGAAGGUGAUCGAUGAUAAAUCCAAAUCAUUUCGACAGGCUGCGCAAAGAGAAAAAUGAAGAAACAAGAUUAGUGUUUAAUAGUAUUAACAAUGAAAACUCCAUUCUAUGAUGACGGUUUUUGCAUGAAUCUCGGUAUCGUCGACGACAACCGGAAAUGUCAAAGAAAUUAAAGCGCAUCUUUUGGCAUGUUUCGGUUUCCAAAGUAAGAUUAUUUGCUAAAUGAAAAGAGAAAUUGCGUCUUUUCAGAAAAAGCUUUCAUGAAUCAAGAAGAGAUCAGAGAAUUGACAUGAAACUAUUUUUCAAAAGAUAUUAUGUUAUCGCACAAAAUUUAUGAAAUAUAUACU